CUCCCUUUCCCACCCAGGGGACUCUCAGCUACUUCUCAGUACCAGAUCACCAUUCCCAGUCAAUGGGAGCAGCAGGAAGCAGCUCGAACCAGGAAACUAUGGCAAUUCAGGGUCAACAGGGGCUGCUAUCACAAGUACCUGAGACCUUGCAGGCACACACAUGGCUGGCUCAUUUGCUGAAUCUGAAUCCAACUUUGCACUCUGUCCAAAGUCAUUCACAUUCCUUUCAUGGGUAGCUUACUGUUGAAGACAUUCACAAAUCCUACAAAUGCACAGAACAAAAUCAACUUUUUAUUAUGUACUGUAAAUACAAAAGCAGCUAAAUAUAAUCAGCAUGUUUGGUGAAUACAAAUCACAAUUACCGAACAAAAAUGCACGUGCCAUUUAACGAAUAAAAGUACUGCAUAAUGAAAUAUCAGAACCUUAUAAAAAUACAUAAGAUUUUAAACAAAUUAUUAAACUUAAUACUUAUCUAACCAUUUUUAUUGUGUCAGUUUCCUAAACAAGUUUGUACAACCCACGUAACCAAAACUGUGUAUUUUAAUAUUCUCGGGAUGACAGAUGUCUGGGAUUUCAUUCAUGAGUGACACACAAAGCAAGAUUUUGAAUCUGUGAUGAAAGUAAGUAGAUAUCAUCGGGUGAAUGAGAUAAGAUAAACUCUGAACCUCAAUAAUUGUAGUUACGUAACUCAAUAAGUUACAAUAUUAGGCCAAAAUUCUACAAAGAGAUCGAUCAGCGUGCAUCCAAAAUUCAACACUUACUUGCAAUACUUUAAUAGGACUCCAGUGAGCAUAAUCACAUCCUGAUCCUUUUGCAGGAUUGGAACCAUAAAUUGCCAUUGAAAGUCAAGAGCAAAAUGUGUACAUGUUUUGCAAAUAACUGCAAAACAGUUAAAAUACUAACCAAAACAGACAGGAAUUAAAUUUUAGCUUUUUAAAAUUCUAUUAAUUUUGUUGUUCAUUCUCUGCAUUUUAUUUACCCUGGAUAAUGAUACCCUUGGUCACUUCCACUUUCUUGUUCACAGGCAACAACAGCACAAAUCCGAAAGGAAUGGUUACAUUAAAAACAAAUAUUAAUUUCCCUGAAAUUAUAUUUUAAAAAAUUAAAACAUCUAGAAAUUAGAUUUCAUGAGCACAUUACCUUUUUAUUAACAAAAACGUACAUUUGGAGCCUAAACGAAGCACCAUAUGACACUGUCCUUGUAAUUCCUGGUUAAUGACUAGAAAGGCAAGUUUUCAAGCUCCUUAAGUUAUUUCAACUUUGUUUUUGGUCUGCAUUGCUUUCCCAGUUUCCUCUAUACAUUGCUUUCUAAGCACACAAAAGCACUGUCUAAUAGUUCAGUACUUUGAAAAUUUAUUUAGAAGAAAUGCAAUAACUAUUUAGUAUUGCACCUGGCAGGCAUUCACCAGGGGAAGAAGGCAGGAAUCCAGUAGCGCUAUACGGGGUGAGGAUAUGGUCAGGUUGGAGUGGGACAGAAUGUGCAUUAUCCCUCUCUUCCUUAAGAAAUCACAUUCUAAUACUGGAAGGGAUUCUCACAGAAUAAGAGAAAGACUAAUUUUAGUCAUAUCUUUUGUUGCUAUUCAAAUUAAACUAGAAUAGACCCUAGCAGAGUAUGCGCUGUCAAAUUUAUUUUUUAAAACAAUACAAGAUGUUUCAAUGCCCUGGUGGUGGCAUUAUGCAAGGACAACUAGAAAACCUAACUAUGGAUCUCUGAAAUAGCCUUUUGCUUCUUAGGCCAGUAGCUUUAAAUUGAUGCAAUAAACUCCUUUGAGCAAGAGAUCCUUAUGUUGCUUUAACAUCAGUUUGCUCCCUUAAAUGGCUGCUUUAUGAGCACUUUCUGUUUGGAAGGGUAAUCCACGUCCAGUGACAUGACCAGAAAAAAGGUUAGGGGAAAGCAAAGCCAGAACUAUUUAUUUGUACAGCAGAUACUUCUGAAGAUCUGGAUAGAAGGACAGAUUCAGAUUGUGAUUUCUCCAGUUUAAAUUUCGAGUUACUUUGUUGAAGUUACUCUGGCUGUAGACCAACGUAACUGAGUUCAGCAUCUAGACCAGUUCCAAAAGGAGAAUGUGUGCUUUUCAGACUCCUGACAUUCUGUUUCCGAUUAGACUAAGUAUCCCCAAAAAAGGAGAGACAGGUGCUUUCUCUGUCAGCCACUCUGAGGAGAUACCUUUUAGAUGCAGCAGAGGUGUUUAAUAAAGGAAAUUAGAAUAUUCAAAUAACUUUGUCCUCAAGACUAACCACAUCUAGCAUUAUUAUUUAAAGGGUUCUAUUAUUUAAAGGACUAGUCUAGAGACUCCACUCUAGCUCAUCUUAAGACGUAGUUUUGCCUACGAAAGCUCAUGAUACUAAACACACACACACACACACACACACACACACAUUUUUAAAAGUUACAGACUAACACGGCUACCACUCUGAAACCUUCUGAAAAAGUUAAGUGUAGCACUGAGCUAGACAUAGCUUAAGGCAGACAUCCGGAAGUAGAUUUUUGUUUUAUACUUUCAACUUUAUGAUAAAGUACCAAACUGAACUUUUACCCAAAUAUUUCCUACCCUUAAGAAAGAUUUUUUGGAAAUCCACAGGUCCCAUCUGUACCAGUGGCAAUGUUGAUUUUCCUCAAAAUAAAAACCUGCCAAAUAACUAGGGUCAGAGUAAACAUAUUUAUGGGAGUCAUUUACAGCAGCAAUUCUUCAAAACAAUCUCAGACUACAAACUUCAAUCCACUCUGUUUUGAACAUCUAAUAGCCCAUUGUUUUAAGCUGGACCUCUGCUUACAAACCCCACACUUUCCAAAACUCUGUAACAGUCUAUGCUUUUCUGAAAAAAUACUGCUUCUACUCAAGCGAGGCAGAAGAUUUAUCCAUAUAUGGACAAGUGAGAGGACAACAAAUGGCUCUUUUCCCAGUUUAUCAAGACAGGAAAUUAGAGGGCCUGAGGUAGUCUGACUUAUUUUGUUCAGAGCCCUGUCGAAAAAGUUCAUAAAUUAGUAACUUUCAUGAAGAGAUGGAUACCAUAUGAUAUUGGCUGCUAUCAUCAUUGUCAAUUUCACAGACGAGCAAAACAUAUGGCUCUCAUAUAGAUAGAGAACUUAUGGUGAUUGCUGCCACACUC